CAGCAGCCGCGGUAAAACGGAGGGUGCGAGCGUUAAUCGGAAUUACUGGGCGUAAAGCGUACGCAGGCGGUUUGUUAAGUCAGAUGUGAAAUCCCCGAGCUUAACUCGGGAACUGCAUUUGAAACUGGCAGGCUAGAGUCUCGUAGAGGGGGGUAGAAUUCCAGGUGUAGCGGUGAAAUGCGUAGAGAUCUGGAGGAAUACCGGUGGCGAAGGCGGCCCCCUGGACGAAGACUGACGCUCAGGUACGAAAGCGUGGGGAGCAAACAGGAUUAGAUACCCGCGUAGUCCCUGUCUCUUAUAC
rnacentral:rRNA from 1 species